GGCCUGAGAGGGUGAUCGGACACACUGGAACUGAGACACGGUCCAGACUCCUACGGGAGGCAGCAGUAGGGAAUAUUGCUCAAUGGGGGAAACCCUGAAGCAGCAACGCCGCGUGGAGGAUGAAGGUUUUAGGAUUGUAAACUCCUUUUGUGAGAGAAGAUAAUGACGGUAUCUCACGAAUAAGCACCGGCUAACUCCGUGCCAGCAGCCGCGGUAAUACGGAGGGUGCAAGCGUUACUCGGAAUCACUGGGCGUAAAGAGUGCGCAGGCGGGCUUGUAAGUCAGAUGUGAAAUCCUGUAGCUUAACUACAGAACUGCAUUUGAAACUAUGAGUCUAGAGUGUGGGAGAGGUAGGUGGAAUUCU
rnacentral:rRNA from 1 species